rnacentral:rRNA from 1 species
UACAGAGGUCUCAAGCGUUGUUCGGAUUCAUUGGGCGUAAAGGGUGCGUAGGUGGCGCGGUAAGUCGGGUGUGAAAUCUCGGAGCUUAACUCCGAAACUGCAUUCGAUACUGCGGUGCUUGAGGACUGGAGAGGAGAGUGGAAUUCCUGGUGUAGCGGUGAAAUGCGCAGAUAUCAGGAAGAACACCCGUGGCGAAGGCGGCUCUCUGGGACGGUACUGACGCUGAGACGCGAAAGCGUGGGGAGCAAACGGG